ncrna:unclassified sequences Rhodo-rpoB RNA
CGGUUCGAGAGCAAGCCAAUGGGAGGUUUGCGAGAAUAGACCAUGAUCCAGUUGCGUGUGCGGCGCAUAGCUGUGGCCCCGACAGCCAAUGUG